rnacentral:tRNA from 1 species
GGAGAGGUGGCUGAGUGGUCGAAAGCAACGGUUUGCUAAACCGUCGUACGGGCAACUGUACCGGAGGUUCGAAUCCUCUCCUCUCCGCCA